AGGAGUGUACUAUGCCGAUUUUUUUUUUGUGUCUUAUGUUAAUCAUGUAGAUGUUGAUUGUUGUAUGGUUGAUGAUGAUGAUGAGGAGAUGGCAGUAAUGCUGAAGUUUGUUUUAAUGAUAAGGAUUGAGGAUGUUAGAUAACCAGUCGCCGUGCAUAUCAGCUGUUACCAAUCUGAAGUGCAUUUGGCCUUUAAUGUAACAGGCUAGCAACACUGCUAGCGCUGGAAUUUUUGUUGAGGGUGUACUGUAGGAAUUGAUGUGGUGGGCUGUAAUGUAUUUUUGGAGCCAGUGCCCACUAGAUUAUAGUGGCAUGGGAGGCUAGUCCUGAGGAGGAUAGUCUGUCAGGUAGCCUUGUAGGGUUACCUAUGUGGAUGAGGAGCCAGUGCCCACUAGAUUAUAGUGCAUGGGGAGGCUAGUCCUGAGGGGGAUAGCCUGUCAGGUAGCCUUGUAGGGUGUACCUGUGUGGAUGAGGAGCCAGUGCCCACUAGAUUAUAGUGGCAUGGGGAGGCUAGUCCUGAGGAGGAUAGUCUGUCAGGUAGCCUUGUAGGUGUACUUGUGUGGAUGAAGGCUCGGAAUUUAUUUGCUAGGGUUUGUGAUGGGAAAUGGUUGCAUUUCUAAGGAAAUAGCGCCCAUUUUAUUUAGGGGGGGUGACUGUAACACCCAUGACAUUUAGAGAAAAUGUCAUGUGUAUUUACACAUUUAUAAAAGUAAAA